rnacentral:misc_RNA from 1 species
GAUGAAGAACGCAGCGAAAUGCGAUAAGUAAUGUGAAUUGCAGAAUUCAGUGAAUCAUCGAAUAUUUGAACGCACAUUGCGCCCGCCAGUAUUCUGGCGGGCAUGCCUGUUCGAGCGUCAUUUCAACCAUCAAGCCCCCGGCUUGUGUUGGGGACCUGCGGCUGCCGCAGGCCCUGAAAACCAGUGGCGGGCUCGCUAGUCACUCCGAGCGUAGUAAUACAUCUCGCUCAGGGCGUGCUGCGGGUUCCGGCCGUUAAAAAGCCUUAUUUACCCAAGGUUGACCUCGGAUCAGGUAGGAAGACCCGCUGAACUUAAGCAUAUCAAUAAGCGGAGGA